AGGUGCGGGAGGCGCAGGCCU
rnacentral:misc_RNA from 1 species